rfam:Gammaproteobacteria bacterium RIFCSPHIGHO2_12_FTLL_41_15 rifcsphigho2_12_scaffold_2154, whole genome shotgun sequence.
CCUGGCGGCUAUAGCGAGUGGGAACCACCUGACCCCAUCCCGAACUCAGAAGUGAAAACACUCAGCGCCGAUGAUAGUGUGAGGUUUCCUCAUGUGAAAGUAGGUCACUGCCAGGU